rnacentral:lncRNA from 1 species
UUUCUAAAAAAAAAAUACAUUCUGAUAAAGGGUAAAAGUGGAAAAAUGAAAAAUGCGUUUUGUUUAUGUUUGGGUUCUCAAUUGAAAAUCUCAUUUAGGUUUAGUUUGAAAAAGUUUCUCCCUCGUUCUUCAUUGCAGAGGUUCUCCAUCAUUGUCAAUAGUUGGUUGUGGAGAUUUUUGGUGGUUGUGAAGUUGAGAGUUGUGGACAUUUCGCUAGUGCCGCUCCUAAUCACAUUUCUGGAUUGUGAGUUUGAAGUAGGGUUUUCUAUUUUCAUCUGUCCUAAGUAAAGGUUUUUUGAUUUUGAUUUCGCGUGGUUAAAUAAAAGAAGAAGUCGUAGUCGUGCAUAUUUAUGGAUGAUUUAGCGAAAAUGGGACUCUUUUGUUUGAAAUUUAAUUCCUUUCAUGUGUGUCUGCGAGGUUCCUGUUUGAAAAUAGAAGAUGUGUAAAUGAUGAUGCAUGACAAAACAAUAACGGAAAAAUAACAGUAGUAAAGUUGAUUGUGUAAACUCAGGAUAAGAAAUAUAAAUAGCUUUCAUAAAUAGUGAGCAUAGGCAAAACUUUUAUAAAAAUUUUAAAAUUUAAUAUAAUAUAGCUUUUGUGAGUUAUAAAAUCAUUCUGAAAUUAAUAAUGUCGAAGGGCAGUGAAGGGAAUCUACAGUCAAGUUAUACUUUUUGUUUGAAUUCUCGCUCACAAUAUUUUUUAAUUUUUUUUAAUUUGAGUUACAUUGCAGUUUAUUUGUCUUUUGAUGUGAUUAAAGGGAACAAACAGCCUGCAUUGAGGAACAAGUUCGGUGUUAAGUGUCUCUCGGGGUUCCUCUGUUGCAGUUAUUAUAGAGGUCAAAUCCUUAUUUGAAUUUUAUGAAGAUGUCUUUAGAGUAAUUUCAAAUAAUCUUAUAUGUCUUUAGCGAAUAAAGUGAUCACUGGAUAUGUAUACCCAUCAAAUUUUGGUAUCACAACUUAUGAAAAAUGGUUACUUGAGAUGAUUUAGUUGAAAAUAUAUAAUGUAUGUCAUUAGUCCAUUCACUCAGUCCUCUGUCAAGAUCACCAGCAUUUCAACAAUAUUCACAAUUCAAAUUGAUGAAUGAAUUUCUAACAUCUGAAGCACAAAUUAGUUAUAUCUAUUAUUACUCCACCAACUGUGUGUAUUGUGGUUGGUUUACGUAAAGCAUCCCUGUUAUAUUGGAGAAAUGCAGCUUGUUUUGUGGCUCUAUUUAUUUCAACAAAUCUUAUGUACCAGAAUAUGUAUUAUUUUCCUUAUGAAUUCUUAGUUCAACUUUGGUAGUUUAGUAUAGUUGUUAAUGUAGUCUAGUUAUUUUUUAUUUCAGGUUUAGUGUUCAUUUGUUGUUUGUUGUCCCUCUGGUCCAGAUUCUAGUUUGAAUUAUGUUAAUAUUAAUUCCAGUAUAAUGUUUUUGAUUUUUGUAAAUGUUGGUGAUUUUAGGGAAUUGGCUCUUAUUCAUAAUUUUAAUCAUUUUGCUACUGUCCCUAUAGCAACUUAUUUGAUUUGGUCAUUUGCAGCUUUUAAGAGCUUCUCAACAAGAAAUAUAGGAUUUUUUAUUUCCAGAAGAGAUGCUACCAUUUUAACUUUGUGACCGAACAGACUCUUACAAAAUGCCAACAUUAGUCAGUUAUUUGUUAUUUGAUGAUUUCAAUAAGUAGUUUUAGGUGUAUUUAAUUACAUGUUUAAUUGUCUUAAUAGAGGUAUAGAACAAACACAGUGGCUUGAUGAACAACUCAAUUAUCUGUAUGGUUGUUUUUGUCUCUGGUAUGUCAAUAUUCCUUUUAUGUAUUAAAACACAUCUGUUUCUAUAUCUAUAUUAAACACAAACGUGAAGGCUAUCUAUAUUCCAUAUAAUAAAAAACAAAAGGCUGUUGAAUUAAUUGAUAUAGGACAGUAUAGGAUGGUAAUUUGAUAGAAAGAGGGUGGUGUUGUGAAAAAUCUGAAUAUAUUUGGGUUUUAUUAUAUAACCACUUGUUUCUAAUAUUUGUUUAAUGUGUAGUUAUGAUUGUGGUAUAUUGGUGAUUAAAUAUAUGGAGUUAUGGGACUACACACCAAAAUUUGAUGGGAAUAAAAUGCCCAAUUACACAACGGUUUGUAAUUUUUAUGUAUAUGGUUAUUUCAAUAUGAUUUAUGUGAAAAGGUUUUAAAGUGUAUUUAAUAACGAUAUUAUUAUCGCAGGAACAAUUACAAGUUGUGCGACAACAGAUGGUUUGUCAGUGGAUAUUACACAAAGAUAAUGUUCAUCGUAGUAUGGUAUUGAAGAGAUGUGGGAUGGUUUAGGCAUUGAUUAAGUCAUGAACUAGGACAACAUCACUGAGUUGAAUAAAUUGAAGUAGGGGAACAAUUAAUGUACAUAUUGAAUACAAAUGACAUCAAAUAUGAUUGAUUACGACAUGAUAAGUUGGGCAAUGAAAUGUUGAUAUAGUGAUUACUUUGUUGUCAAUAUUUUUUGCAAAGGGAAAUUUGAGCUUCACUUGCAAAUUGUAUGAGAUUUUUAGUGAUUCAGGAUGUGAUAUUUAACACUUUUAUUGUUGUACAAAACGCAGUCCAGAACCGACCACAUACAGUUGAAGGGAUAACCACUAACUGUACCAAAAAAAGUGGUCUUUN